ensembl:lincRNA
GGCAGAAUUGUAUGACAUUUAUCUUUUAUCCAUCUCCAGUGUGUAGCACAGUGGUUGCGGCUUCUUCUUAAAAGUUGAACUAAUGAAUUAAUGAAUGAGCCAUUUGAAAUUUGUUCUCUCCUCAUGAACUAUAACAGGGUUGUUUCCCAGACAAAUUACCCAAGCUGUUGGAGCACUUGGGAUCAUAGCUUCUUCUUGGUUCUCUCCCUCCCAAGAGAAGAAGGUGAUCGGCACUAAGCCAGGAAGGUUUGGAGAGGCUCUGAGGAGGAGCAGGAACAAGAGCUGAUGGAACUGUGCAAGCACGACUUUGGAAGAUUCUGAGAACAAGCAGAGUCAUUUGAACUAGGGGAUGAGAUGUGGUAUGGAAUUAGGGAAAAGGCCAUUCUCCCUGCCUCUCAUGGGACCCAGAACCACUUGGGCCCCCUGAAAAUGUACAGCUUUAGAAGUCCCUGGAGAUGGAGGUCUGGCAAUGGUGUUAUCAUGCUUAUGAUGGUGCCUCUGCCGUGGCAACAGCAAGGCUUCCCAAGUUGCAGAGAGCAGCAAGAGAAAGUCAGAGCUGGAGAGCACAUGCCUGUCAGUAAAUCCAAGAACAGGCAGGAAGCACAAAGGGGACCCGCACUCAGUGCUCAAUGGUGCCCAGGCUGGAGUGCAGUGGCGUGAUCUCGGCUCGCUACAACCUCCACCUCCCAGCAGCCUGCCUUGGCCUCCCAAAGUGCUGAGAUUACAGCCUCUGCCCGGCCGCCACCCCGUCUGGGAAGUGAGGAGCGUCUCCGCCUGGCCGCCCAUCGUCUGGGAUGUGAGGAGCCCCUCUGCCUGGCUGCCCAGUCUGGAAAGUGAGGAGCGUCUCUGCCCGGCUGCCAUCCCAUCUAGGAAGUGAGGAGCGCCUCUUCCCGGCCGCCAUCACAUCUGGGAAGUGAGGAGCGUCUCUGCCCGGCCGCCCAUCGUCUGAGAUGUGGGGAGCACCUCUGCCCUGUCGCCCCGCGGGAUGUGUAGGAGCGUCUCUUGCCCGGCCCCGUCUG